CCUACGGGGGGCAGCAGUGAGGAAUAUUGGUCAAUGGUCGGGAGACUGAACCAGCCAAGCCGCGUGAGGGAUGAAGGUACAGAGUAUCGUAAACCUCUUUUGUCAGGGAACAAAGGCGGGGACGUGUCCCCGGAUGAGUGUACCUGAAGAAAAAGCAUCGGCUAACUCCGUGCCAGCAGCCGCGGUAAUACGGAGGAUGCGAGCGUUAUCCGGAUUUAUGGGGUUUAAAGGGUGCGCAGGCGGUCUGUUAAGUCAGCGGUCAAAGCCCGGGGCUCAACCCCGGCCCGCCGUUGAAACUGGCAGUCUCGAGUUGGAGAGAAGUAUGCGGAAUGCGCGGUGUAGCGGUGAAAGGCAUAGAUAUCGCGCAGAACUCCGAUUGCGAAGGCAGCAUGCCGGCUCCACACUGACGCUGAGGCACGAAAGCGUGGGUAUCGAACAGGAUUAGAUACCCGUGUAGUC
rnacentral:rRNA from 1 species